AACAAACGCUGGCGGCGUGCCUAACACAUGCAAGUCGUACGAGAAAGGGUCCUUCGGGGCCUGAGUAAAGUGGCGCGCGGGUGAGUAACGCGUGGAUAAUCUGCCCUUCAGUUGGGAAUAACUCAUCGAAAGGUGGGCUAAUACCGAAUAAUGCUGUGAGACCUCGGUUGAUCAGCCAAAGAGAGCCUCUGCUUGCAAGCCCUCGCUGAAGGAUGAGUCCGCGUACCAUUAGCUAGUUGGUAGGGUAAUGGCCUACCAAGGCGACGAUGGUUUGCUGGUCUGAGAGGAUGAACAGCCCCACUGGAACUGAGACACGGUCCAGACGCCUACGGGAAGCAGCAGUGAGGAAUCUUGCGCAAUGGGGGCAACCCUGACGCAGCAACGCCGCGUGAGUGAGGAAGGUAUUCGGAUCGUAAAGCUCUGUCGGAUGGAAAGAACCGCAUAGGGGUAAACAGCCCCUGUGUCUGACGGUACCAUCAAAGGAAGCACCGGCUAACUCCGUGCCAGCCGCCGCGGUAAUAC
rnacentral:rRNA from 1 species